rnacentral:lncRNA from 10 species
AGAAGUGCUGUCUUACCUUGAGCACGUAAGAUCAGGGAGAGAGGCUCGCUGGCUCCCACGGAGAGGAUCGGGGAAGGGCUGUGAUCCGCUGCUGGUAACAUGCACUUGGCUUUUAUGGGCAGGUGGGAGGAGCUGCUCCUCAUAGUAGGUGGGCAGGGAAGGAGCGGCGGGCGGGCAGCCUCUGGAGGAGCUGGACACUCUUCUCUGGGGAGGGGCGGGCAGAGACUGGAGCCCGCAAGGCGGAGGAGAGACGACGGGGCGGGGGGAGGGGGAGCGCGGUCACAACGGAGGAAGGAGUGGAAAAGGGAGAGAGAGGGAGAAGGGAAAAAAGAGAGGGAACUAGAAAUAGUGAAAGGGAUCUUGACCACAGAUGGGGAAAGGUGGGGGAGAAAAUGAAUAGCAGAGACAGAGAGAGAGAGAGUGUCUGGGAGGAAAGGGGAAUCGGAGUAUUUUCCGUUUUUGCAUGACAUUUUUUGGCAGAGGGAGUUGUGGGUGAUUGUGACUUUUGAAGGUGUUUUCUGUGAAUUUGGGAAUUUGAAAAGCUACAUAGCGGUCCGGGAGAACUGAAGGGUUUCUAAGCGAGGCAAGGGAGGUGAAGCUGGGCGUCCGGGCAGCAGAGCCAAAGUUCAGGGUGGACCCGGACCUGGAGCUGGAGGCACUGACAUGGCCUGGAGCCAGGCAGCCCCCAGCCCUCAGCCCCGUCCCACCGCCCGCGGGUGAAAAUCGCCCCAUCCCUCUCCCUCCAGGCAAGGCUUAUUUGACAAGGAAGUUCCUGCGCUGCCUGUCCUCUGAGCAUCCAGAGGCCCCUUUUGAGACUUCGGCAGCAUUAAAGUAAAUCCAGCAACGGGGAGGAUUCGCGUGGACUUGCUUGUGGAGACAGGAACCUCAGAACCAGCCUGGGUCUUCCAGCAUCUGCUUAUGUAACGUAGGAUUUCAGAGCUCUCUGCCCUCUGGUUAUUUUCGGUAUUUAAAACACUCUCAUUCCUAACAAUCGGAAAACGUCUUGGUGCCACAGUUCUUUCUCAGUGUGUCUUAAACAUUAAGAGAGGAUUCAACCAACAAGUGGCUAAAGGAUCAGUCUGAAAUUACUAAGAAAUGCAUUCAGAGAAAGAAAAACAAGCUCCUUUCGCUGCUGAGUGGUGACUCACUUCCUAGCCCAAGCCUGAUUUUUGCCACCAAAGGAAUUAAAGCAUUUUAAAAGAGAACCUGAGACUUGGGGUGGGAGAUACAGUACCGGGAGGGGGAAAAGGCGGGAAUGGGAGGGGGGAGGGAU